rnacentral:rRNA from 1 species
GAUGAACGCUAGCUACAGGCUUAACACAUGCAAGUCGAGGGGCAUCAGGAAGAAAGCUUGCUUUCUUUGCUGGCGACCGGCGCACGGGUGAGUAACACGUAUCCAACCUGCCCUUUACUCGGGGAUAGCCUUUCGAAAGAAAGAUUAAUACCCGAUGGCAUAAUGAUUCCGCAUGGUUUCAUUAUUAAAGGAUUCCGGUAAAGGAUGGGGAUGCGUUCCAUUAGGUUGUUGGUGAGGUAACGGCUCACCAAGCCUUCGAUGGAUAGGGGUUCUGAGAGGAAGGUCCCCCACAUUGGAACUGAGACACGGUCCAAACUCCUACGGGAGGCAGCAGUGAGGAAUAUUGGUCAAUGGGCGCUAGCCUGAACCAGCCAAGUAGCGUGAAGGAUGAAGGCUCUAUGGGUCGUAAACUUCUUUUAUAUAAGAAUAAAGUACAGUAUGUAUACUGUUUUGUAUGUAUUAUAUGAAUAAGGAUCGGCUAACUCCGUGCCAGCAGCCGCGGUAAUACGGAGGAUCCGAGCGUUAUCCGGAUUUAUUGGGUUUAAAGGGAGCGUAGGUGGACUGGUAAGUCAGUUGUGAAAGUUUGCGGCUCAACCGUAAAAUUGCAGUUGAUACUGUCAGUCUUGAGUACAGUAGAGGUGGGCGGAAUUCGUGGUGUAGCGGUGAAAUGCUUAGAUAUCACGAAGAACUCCGAUUGCGAAGGCAGCUCACUGGACUGCAACUGACACUGAUGCUCG